ensembl:lncRNA
UACUGGAGGUGACCUUACUGUGCUGGAUGCUCACGGCUGGUGGGGCAAUGGGAGAGCUCAGGUGCAUGCCCACAUUUCUUGCAGAGUGAUGCAAGGAUGAGCAGCUUGCCCUGGAGGCAGCAAGCAGACGUUUCCUAUCGCCCAGCAUCUGCUGUUUGAGACGUUUCCCAAAGAAGAGGCCAAGUAGGUCUCCUGCAGUUUAAUGCGCACAUCAUCAGAAGCUCGAGUGUGCCUCUGUUUGUCGUGCUGAGAAAUGCUGUGAGCGGUCAGAACCAAGAAAAAUUGGGCUUUGGGACCCUUAUUACAGGAUGGACUUGAUUCAAGCUCUCUUAACGUGACAGGGCACACACGGCGAUUCUGAAAGCAGCUUUAAAAGAACUGCCCUCUGCCACAAGGCCAGAGGUGAGUGAGUCACAAACUGCACACAACCGCCUCCCACUGCCAGACUCAGGCCGUUAGCGAGGCCACAGCCUUGUGAAUUAAAGCUGAACAGCGAGAGCCUGCGUGUGUACCUCUCAUCAGAGAGAAUUAUCCCAUCCCAAUGCCUCCUUCGGCGAGAAGUGGUGUUUAAUUAUAGAAAGCUUCGUGCAGGAAAACUCCAAAUUAUGUCUGAGAAUGAAAACAGUUGCUGGCUGCAUUCUUCAGCAUUUUGUACCUAACAGCUGAGGGGAAAAGCAACACUCUGCAGCCAGAGAUACACGCGGGUAUUUCUACAGGCAUAUUCAAAAG